GACGAACGCUGGCGGCGUGCUUAACACAUGCAAGUCGAACGGAAAGGCCCUGCUUGCCGGGUACUCGAGUGGCGAACGGGUGAGUAACACGUGGGUGAUCUGCCCUGCACUUCGGGAUAAGCCUGGGAAACUGGGUCUAAUACCGGAUAGGAGCCAUUUUUAGUGUGAUGGUUGGAAAGUUUUUUCGGUGUAGGAUGAGCUCGCGGCCUAUCAGCUUGUUGGUGGGGUAAUGGCCUACCAAGGCGGCGACGGGUAGCCGGCCUGAGAGGGUGGACGGCCACAUUGGGACUGAGAGACGGCCCAGACUCCUACGGGAGGCAGCAGUGGGGAAGAUUGCACAAUGGGCGCAAGCCUGAUGCAGCGACGCCGCGGGGGGGAGGACGGCCUUCGGGUUGUAAACUCCUUUCGCUAGGGACGAAGCUUUUUGUGACGGUACCUAGAUAAGAAGCACCGGCUAACUACGUG
rnacentral:rRNA from 1 species